rnacentral:rRNA from 1 species
GAGGAAUAUUGCGCAAUGGGGGAAACCCUGACGCAGCAACGCCGCGUGAAGGAUGAAGGUCUUCGGAUUGUAAACUUCUUUGAUGAGGGACGAACACAAUGACGGUACCUCAAAAACAAGCCACGGCUAACCACGUGCCAGCAGCCGCGGUAAUACGUAGGUGGCGAGCGUUGUCCGGAAUUACUGGGUGUAAAGGGCGUGUAGGCGGGAAAGCAAGUCAGAUGUGAAAUACCGGGGCUUAACCCCGGGGCUGCAUCUGAAACUGUUUUUCUUGAGUGUCGGAGAGGAAAGCGGAAUUCCUAGUGUAGCGGUGAAAUGCGUAGAUAUUAGGAGGAACACCAGUGGCGAAGGCGGCUUUCUGGACGACAACUGACGCUGAGGCGCGAAAGCGUGGGGAGCAAAC